UGAGCAAUCUGCCCUUCACAUCGGAAUAACCAUUGGAAACGAUGGCUAAUACCGAAUAUGACUUCGGAUCGCAUGAUCUGAAGUGGAAAGCUCCGGCGGUGAAGGAUGAGCUCGCGGCCUAUCAGCUUGUUGGUGAGGUAAUGGCUCACCAAGGCGACGACGGGUAGCCGGCCUGAGAGGGUGACCGGCCACACUGGGACUGAAACACGGCCCAGACUCCGUAACGGGG
rnacentral:rRNA from 1 species